GCUAAAAUUUUGCACCAAACGUGAUUCCUGCAGGAGCUUGACUUGAUGGCUCCAAGCGACAACGUGAACAAGUGUGGCGUCUACAGGGGACACCAUCGGGUACGUGACACGUUAUUAUAGGUAUGAGCGCUUGGUCUUAUGCGUCAUCUUACAUGGAGUAUAGACAUGCAUCCGUGGUUUUUGGUAAGCGCCGAGGUUAAGCGGUGUGCGUGAACACGCACAAUAAGUUUUUUUUUUUUGCGUUGAACUUCCGUGUAUAGAGUUUACUACGGAGCUUGUCGUCUUUCGUCCAGAAGGCAAGACGACCUUUAUUCGCAAGAGGCCUUAGGGCCAUUCUGAAUGAAUCAAUAGGAUUCAUUCAUUCAUUGCUUCGUGCGCCUGUCGCUCGACCGUCGACAGCACAUGACGUAAGGCUAUUUCAGAAUGUUCUAGUUGUAGGAAAUUGGAUCUAGGUAAAUGGCUGGAAACUUGGAUUUUACGUCUGUUCGUUGGAACGUUGCGCGCCGUGAAUGAGCGAGACGGCCUUCAAACCGUGACCAACUGCGUGAGCGGUCGCUCGACCUGCCUGACCGCAGCUGGGCAAAGACGUGGACUGUCGCAACCACAUCCGCGUGGUGCAGCCGAUACGGGACGGAAGCACGCUCUACAUCUGCGGCACCAACGCCAGGGCGCCCACUGAUUGGCAAGUGCAGGCUGCAGACCUCACCCUGGUGCCGGUGGCCAACCAGGUGCCCGUACUGGGAGUCAACACAUCGAAUGAGGCGCAGGGUCGCUGCCCCAACUACCUCCACCAGAGCUCUCGGACGUUGUGGCUGGACGACGCGCCCACGAGUGGCAGCUCGUGCGUGGUGGCCCUGACCGUGCUGUCGACAGACCAGUACGGCUUCUUCCGGCUAACCCCGAGAGGAUUUCCGCUGCACUCCACGGACACGCGCGCCG
rnacentral:lncRNA from 1 species